AAAAAAAGGGCUCCCGCCUUGCACUCGGGGCGUGCCUGCGCUGCCCGCCUGCACCCAUUUCUUUUCUGGCCACUGUGCGUUCUGCACCGCGUCACCCAUGUACACAGACUGCGCACUGCUGCUCAACACGGUGCUCAGUGAAAGUGGCUGUACGGACGCGUCGUUGCAGGACACAGCCGAGACGGUUCCUCUUGUCUACCGCACACUAGCAGAGCACAGCUACUGCCUCCUGUACGUUGUCUCCGUUGCCAAGGCCCUCCUGCACGAGGACGACGCGGCGUUCGCCCAUCUGGCACGUGCGCAGGCGCAGCGACAGAAGACAGCUGCAGAGACCUUGUCGACACCGGCGCCGCCUGUGCCGUUUGCUUUCCCUUCUCCUAUCCCACCCCUUGCGCCAUCCGACAGCCUCGACAUGCACCUCACCAUCAUCGGCGGGGGUACGUGCUGUGAACUGAUGCUGCGGCUGAUAUGUGGCCAUGGCUGUGCUGGCGGCGGCCGUGGCGCUGGGAUCUUUUGCGGCACGACUACUCGAGACCCGCUCGUGCAUCCAUCGCACAUCACCGUCAUCACACGGCAACCAGAGCGACUGGCGCGCUACGCGGAUCUGGGGGUGCAUUGCCUUGCCCGUCAUCACGGUCGACAGGCAGUGGAGCGCAGCGACGUGGUGGUGCUGACCUGCCCUCCAGCGCAACUACAGGAGGUGGCGCGAGAUCUCUUUACCUCCGCGUCGAUGGAGACUGCCACGAGCGCGGGGCCCUCUCAAAACAAGGUCGCAGCGACCGCGUCGUCGCCAUCGCUGCCGUCGUCAGGUGCUGCGACGCCCUUGCUGCGGUCGAAUGCGGUGUUGCUGUUCUGCAUGGCCGGCGUUCCGGUGCGCAAGGUAGCACAGGCGUUUCAGCACUCCUCGCUCGAUCUGAUCUUUACGCCGUCACUCCACACUCUCAGCACGCACUUCCCGUGCGCCGCACCGUCGAAUGAUGGCGACGAGCCGUCUACCACCGCCUGUUGCUCUGUGUAUUCACCAACGAAGGGGCCGCCUCUGCCGGCGCAAAUACCGAAGACCUCGCAGGAGUGCGACAAGUCCCUUGAAGAGCAUUCCAUUGAAGAGGCAGGGCAGUGCUUUACGGCCGCCAUGGCCGCGUACCGCAGUGCUCGACUUUUCGAGAUGCACUCCUCAACAUCGUUUCUGCGUCCUGCAGUGCUGCAGCAAGCCGCAAAGAGCGCUGCUACUGGGGCGGCAGCGGCGCGCGAGGCCACCUGCUCGCGGGUACCGCCGCUGCCUGGCGGCACGUCCUAUCCGGCUGCCGCCGCGCCACCCCGACUCACCGACUUCACCGCUGGACGACACCCUUCCACGUGUCCCACCCUGGCAGAAUACCUGGAUCUCUGGCGCGUGGUGAAGGCGUACGUGAAGGCGACCUUUGCAGAGGAGGCGCUGAAGCUUGCUCGUGCGCGCGGCAGCGCUGGUGGUGGCUCCCGGCGACGUCGCGGAAACGUGGGGACAGGUGACAGCUGCGGCGGUCUUGUGAGUGUUGUGCUGCCAGACACGACAUCGAAGCGCCACUGCAAGUCAGAACCUGGUGAAGUCGAGGCUGAGCUGUUGCCAGCCCUGAUACUCCUACCAGCUGCGCAGACGAAGGUAUUAUGGGACGCGUGGUGGGGCAACAGCGGGCGCGGCGGCCUUCUAAGCAGGAGCGACGCCGCGCCUCCACUGCCGCCUUCCGUGACAGACGUGACAGGUAUGUGGUUGUGUCGCGUCUACACGAGCGCGGCUUCCCUCAAGGCCAGCCUUGACGACCAGUUCCGUCACCUUCUCGGUGCUUGCACGCGGUGAUGCCGCCGCCCUGAUGAGGCGGCCUGCAUGAUCGGCGGUUUGACGUAUCGUGGCAUGAUCGUGCCACACCACCGAAUGGCCUUGCUGCUGCGGGGAAAGCGUUGUGUGCGCCCGAAGGCGGAUGCCCCGCAGCCUUCACCGCCUCCAUAUCGCUCUCCGACUCUUCCUCCGCCCUCUGCCAUUUUCUUUGACGAGCUCCUCGGCGUUUUGUUUCGUUAUGCUUCCUCAUGUUUGAUGUACACAACCUGUGGCGCACUCACGCUUGCACGGCGCCGCUUCCUUCUUCUUGUCUUCAUGUUCGCGCUCGUGGCCCUCCUCGCCGUUUUCGUUGCCCUCAUCUCGCUGUGAGCCGUCCGGAGUGGCGGUGUCUGAGAGAGGCACACAUCGUCAUGUCUGGCGGUUGUGGCCCGCCGAUGAUCGCCGCUGCGACUUGCCCUCUCUUUCCCGCACUCCUCUCGAGCGGGGUUGAGGACAAACUCAAUGCAUUUGAUUUUUCACUCAUGACGCGUGCUCACAUGUUCCUGUGCACUGGGCUUCCCGCUUCCGGUCGUCCUCCUCGACGCUCCGGGCGGGGGGGGGAGCACAGCCCCAGUGUUUUGGCGUUCACCUUGCCAGUAGCGUUUCGGCGCGCAUGCGGCACCCUACUGUCCCUAGGCGCACGCGUCUGCCGCUUAUCGCACCCUCUUCCCCCACCACCACCACCUAAUGCUCUGACGACCACUCAAACAAAUGCCCCCCUCUCCCCUCCCUCACGCAAG
rnacentral:misc_RNA from 1 species